rnacentral:rRNA from 1 species
CACCAGGUUGAUUCUGCCUGACGUGUACGCUAGUCUUGAAGAUUUAGCCAUGCAAGCUUGCGAAGCCGAGUGCGGAGCGGCAGACAGCUCAGUAAUACAGUUACUAUCUACUCGUGGUAGAGAUAUGGAUAACCAUGGUAAGCUAUGGCUAAUACAUGAACAAGUUACGCAACUGGUGAGACAGGUGUAACCGACAGGCAACGACCACGACUAAGUUUCUGGCCUAUUAGCUAUUUAAGUACGGUCUAGGCGUACUUAGGCGAUGAUGGGUAACGGGGGAUCAGGGUCUGAUACCGGAGAAGGAGCCUGAGAAACAGCUCCUACGUCUAAGGAUGGCAGCAGGCGCGAAACUUACCCAAUUCCCUCACGGGAGAGGUAGUCAAGAGACAUGAGAUUUAUCUACAGACCGGAUUGUAAAUGCAUCCGGGAUCGACUGGAGGGCAAGUCUGGUGCCAGCAGCCGCGG